rnacentral:rRNA from 1 species
GUCCACGCCGUAAACGAUGCAUGCUGGCUGUCGGAGGUAUUCACCCCUUCGGUAGCGAAGCUAACGCGUUAAGCAUGCCGCCUGGGGAGUACGGCCGCAAGGUUGAAACUCAAAGGAAUUGACGGGGGCCCGCACAAGCGGUGGAGUAUGUGGUUUAAUUCGACGCAACGCGCAGAACCUUACCCAGCCUUGACAUCCACAGAACCCGGUAGAAAUAUUGGGGUGCCCUGGCAACAGGGAGCUGUGAGACAGGUGCUGCAUGACUGUCGU